rnacentral:rRNA from 1 species
UGGGGAAUAUUGGACAAUGGGGGCAACCCUGAUCCAGCCAUGCCGCGUGUGUGAAGAAGGCCUUCGGGUUGUAAAGCACUUUUGUUCGGGAAGAAAUCGGGCGGGCUAAUACCCGGUCCGGAUGACGGUACCGAAAGAAUAAGCACCGGCUAACUUCGUGCCAGCAGCCGCGGUAAUACGAAGGGUGCAAGCGUUACUCGGAAUUACUGGGCGUAAAGCGUGCGUAGGCGGUUCGUUAAGUCUGAUGUGAAAGCCCCGGGCUCAACCUGGGAACGGCAUUGGAUACUGGCGGGCUAGAGUACGGUAGAGGGUGGUGGAAUUCCCGGUGUAGCAGUGAAAUGCGUAGAGAUCGGGAGGAACAUCCGUGGCGAAGGCGGCCACCUGGACCAGUACUGACGCU